rnacentral:tRNA from 1 species
GGCCAGUUAGCUCAGUUGGUUAGAGCGUCGUGGCUAAUAACGCGAAGGUCGCGGGUUCGAUCCCCCUCACGGGCCA